AUCAAGCAGGGCCAUUUAAUGUGGCUUCAGCACAAGGCAAGGCUUCUUCUUUCCUGUCUUUCGUGGCCGUUUCCGUGACCGGCGCUGUGUUCUGGUGCUCCUCUGGGUGCUGGGCAGCGUUGUUCAGUGGUUUGGAUGCUUUGGUCGUUCCCAUGUCUGUGAUGGUCAGCUUAUCAAUCACCAUGCAGCCCGCAUCGCUGGUGAAAACGGCCUUCUCGUUCUUUGCAUCCAUCGUCAGCUUGACUGUUUCCUGGCCUGCACCUGUGCUGAUGGUCUCUGUGACGACGUCUCCU
rnacentral:lncRNA from 1 species